CAAAAACCUACAGCAAAUAUUUUCUUUUCUUUUUUAAUUGAGAUAUAGUUGAUUUACAGUAUUAUAUAAUUUCAGGGACUUCCCUGGUGGCGCAGUGGUUAAGAAUCCACCUGUCAAUGCAGGGGAUACAGGUUCGAGCCCUGGUCUGUGAAGAUCCCACAUGCUGCGGAGCAACUAAGCCCGUGCGCCACAACUAUUGAAGUCUGUGCACCUAGAGCCCGUGCUCUGCAACAAGAGAAGCCACUGCAAUGAGAAGCCCGCGCACCACAACCCCCACUGGACACAACUAGAGAAAGCCCAGUGAAGUUUUCCAGUGGUUAUGUGACAUGUGAUUACAUCGUUGCCCUGAUAUCUAAUGGAAUGGGUUCUUGUACUUUCUAGAAUUUUCUAAGGAUACAGCAAGAAGGCAUCCAUCUGCAAACCAGGAAGUGGGCUCUCACCAAGAACUGAACCAGCCAGCCUCUUGAUCUUGGACUCCUCAGCCUCCAGAACUACGUGAAAUAAAUGUUUUUUGUUUAAGCCA